CCCAGAUCAGCAAGGUAGAAACUUCACUCCAGGCUACAGCAGCCAAGAAUAUAGGACUGCCUCUCCCCCAACUGGAAGCAUUAUUCUCAGGAGGAGUAAAACUGCAUUUCUCAUUCUGCCCCCAGCUACUGGUUGCUGAGGCUGUUCCAGGUAACUGUGGUCAAGAGCACCACAACCCACGAGUAGACUUCAGAGAAUUAUCCAGCCAUUCUUGCUUUGUUCCUGAUCUUACAGGGAAAAGUUCUUGUUUCUCACUGAUACAGGAAGUACGUGUGCAGAUUUGUCACAUGGUUAUAUUGCAUGAAGCUGAGGUUUGUGGUAUGGAUCCUGUCACCAGGGAGUGAGCAUAGUAGCCAAUAGAACCAAGGUCUUGCUAUGUUUCCCAGGCUGGUCUCAAACUGCUGGACUCAAGUGAUCCUCCUGCCUCAGCCUCUCAAAGUGUUGAAAUUACAGGCAUGAGCCACCACACCUAGCUAAAAUUUUAAGUACACAAUACAGUAUUAUUAACCAUAGGCUCUAUGCUGUACAAUAUAUCCCUAGGACUUAUUCAACUUAUGUAACUGAAAAUUGUAUUCUUUGUCUAAUAACUUUGAUUCCACCUCAUCAUGUUCCCUUCAACAACUAUUCCACUCUCUGCUGCUAUGAGUUUGACUAUUUUAGAUUCAUCACAUAGGUGGUAUUAUGUAGUAUUUGUCCUUGUGUGUUUGGCUAAUUUCACUUAGCCUAUUAUCCUCCACACUCAUCCAUAUUUCACAAAUGGCAGGAUUUCCUUCUUUCAUAAGUCUGAAUAAUAUUUCAUUGUAUGUGUAUACUACAUUUUCUUUAUCCAUUCAUCUAUCAAUAAACAUUUACAUUGAGUCUCUUUGGCUCGUGUGUUAUUUAGAAGUCUGUUGUUUGAUUUUCAAGUAUUUUGGGAUUUUCCAGCUAUCUUUCUGUUAUUAACUUCUCAUUUAAUUCCAUUGUGGUUUGAGAGCAGACAUUGUAUGAUUCAUAUCCAUACAAAUUUGUUAAGGUGUUUUGUGGCCCAGAAUGUCAUCAGUCUUGGCGAAUGUUUUGUGUGAGCUUGAGAACAAUGUAUAAUCUACUGUUGUUUGAUGAAGUGCCCUUUAAUUGGUGUUAAUUAAAUCUAUUUGAUUAAUGGUGAUAUUGAUUUCCUCUAGGUCCUUAUUAAUUUUCUGCCUGUCAAAUCUGUCCAUUACUGAAAAAGACAUGUUAAAGUCUCCAACUAUAAUAGUGAAUGUAUCUAUUCCCUUUUACAGUUUUAUCAUUUUUUGCCUCAUGUAUUUUGAUGCUAUCGUUAGGUGCAUACACAUUAAGGAUUGUUAGCCCUGUUGUAUAAUUGGCCCUCAUCAUUAUGUAGUAAACCUCUUUAUCC
rnacentral:lncRNA from 1 species